AAGUCGUAACAAGGUUUCCGUAGGUGAACCUGCGGAAGGAUCAUUAACAAAUCAUUUGAUGCUAAGGAGGGGAGCAAUCCUCUCUCUCUAGCACAUUAACCCGAACCCGUGCAGCAAUGCCGGGCCGGUGCAGUAGUGUCUGGCCGCGCGAGGUUGGAUGCUAUUGCGGCGUUGUGCUGCUUGUCAGUCGCGCCACAUAGACGCUUGUAUUGUUUGACAGAGUAUAGUUUGUACAAUCAAAUUAUAAACAACUUUUAACAAUGGAUCUCUUGGCUCUU
rnacentral:misc_RNA from 1 species